rnacentral:rRNA from 1 species
ACGGAAGGCAGCAGCUAAGAAUAUUCCGCAAUGGGGGGAACCCUGACGGAGCGACGCCGCGUGGACGAUGAAGGCCGGAAGGUUGUAAAGUCCUUUUAUGACAGAGGAAUAAGCGUGGGAGUGGAAAGCCCAUGUGAUGGCUGUAGGUCAUGAAUAAGCACCGGCUAAUUACGUGCCAGCAGCCGCGGUAACACGUAAGGUGCGAGCGUUGUUCGGAAUCAUUGGGCGUAAAGGGCAUGUAGGCGGUCUGUCAAGCCAGGCGUGAAAGCCAGGGGCUCAACCCCUGAACUGCGCUUGGAACUGGCGGACUGGAGUCACUGAGGGGGAACCGGAAUUCCUGGUGUAGGGGUGAAAUCUGUAGAUAUCAGGAAGAACACCGAUGGCGAAGGCAGGUUUCCAGCAGACGACUGACGCUGAGGUGCGAAGGUGCGGGGAGCAAACAGGAUUAGAUACCCUGGUA